rnacentral:rRNA from 1 species
UGGCUCAGGACGAACGCUGGCGGCGUGCCUAACACAUGCAAGUCGAGCGAGGAGAUUCCUUCGGGAUGAUCCUAGCGGCGGACGGGUGAGUAACACGUGGGCAACCUGCCUCAUAGAGAGGAAUAGCCUUCCGAAAGGGAGAUUAAUACCUCAUAACAUUGCAGUUUCGCAUGGAACAGCAAUUAAAGGAGUAAUCCGCUAUGAGAUGGGCCCGCGGCGCAUUAGCUAGUUGGUGAGGUAACGGCUCACCAAGGCGACGAUGCGUAGCCGACCUGAGAGGGUGAUCGGCCACAUUGGGACUGAGACACGGCCCAGACUCCUACGGGAGGCAGCAGUGGGGAAUAUUGCACAAUGGGGGAAACCCUGAUGCCAGCAACGCCGCGUGAGUGAUGACGGCCUUCGGGUUGUAAAGCUCUGUCUUCAGGGACGAUAAUGACGGUACCUGAGGAGGAAGCCACGGCUAACUACGUGCCAGCCGCCGC